rnacentral:rRNA from 1 species
GGUACCUGGCGGCGUGCCUACCAUGCAAGUCGAGCGAUCUUCUUCGGAAGAGAGCGGCGGACGGGUGAGUAACGCGUGGGUAACCUGCCCUGUACACACGGAUAACAUACCGAAAGGUAUGCUAAUACGGGAUAACAUACUUUUAUCGCAUGGUAAAAGUAUCAAAGCUCCGGCGGUACAGGAUGGACCCGCGUCUGAUUAGCUAGUUGGUAAGGUAACGGCUUACCAAGGCGACGAUCAGUAGCCGACCUGAGAGGGUGAUCGGCCACAUUGGAACUGAGACACGGUCCAAACUCCUACGGGAGGCAGCAGUGGGGAAUAUUGCACAAUGGGCGAAAGCCUGAUGCAGCAACGCCGCGUGAGCGAUGAAGGCCUUCGGGUCGUAAAGCUCUGUCCUCAAGGAAGAUAAUGACGGUACUUGAGGAGGAAGCCCCGGCUAACUACGUGCCAGCAGCCGCGGUAAUACGUAGGGGGCUAGCGUUAUCCGGAAUUACUGGGCGUAAAGGGUGCGUAGGUGGUUUCUUAAGUCAGAAGUGAAAGGCUACGGCUCAACCGUAGUAAGCUUUUGAAACUAAGAGACUUGAGUGCAGGAGAGGAGAGUAGAAUUCCUAGUGUAGCGGUGAAAUGCGUAGAUAUUAGGAGGAAUACCAGUUGCGAAGGCGGCUCUCUGGACUGUAACUGACACUGAGGCACGAAAGCGUGGGGAGCAAACAGGAUUAGAUACCCUGGUAGUCCACGCCGUAAACGAUGAGUACUAGCUGUCGGGGGUU